UCAGAUCUUGAGCUCACAGAGAAAGAAAUUGAACGCAUGGUGAUGGAAGCUUCGAGGGCUGAGUAUCAUGCAGAUGACACAUUCAAGCAACAACUUGGAAGGAGAGAAUCUUCCACUUCUAGCGCUGAGCCAUCAUCUUCUGGAGCUAGUGAGUUAUCUUAACUGGGUAGAUGAACUUGUUAAGUUUUUAGUAGUAGAGGAUCAUUUUACAUGGGAUUAAACUGCGUUUUUGUAGGAUAUAGUUUUGGCUGCUCUUUGUUGUGUGUUUGUCAAAUGACUUGAUUGAUUCUAUGCAACCUGUGAGUAACAGGAUCAUCAGGAAGUGAGACUAAGCUAGGAGUGAGGGGCCAUGGUUUUCAAGAUUCCCCUCUU
rnacentral:lncRNA from 1 species